rnacentral:rRNA from 1 species
UACAGAGACUGCGAGCGUUAUUCGGAUUCACUGGGCGUAAAGGGUGCGCAGGCGGCCAUGUGUGUGAGGCGUGAAAGCCCACGGCUUAACCGUGGAAGUGCAUGGGAAACUGCAGUGCUUGAGUACUUAAGAGGAUCGCGGAAUUCCCGGUGUAGAGGUGAAAUUCGUAGAUAUCGGGAGGAACACCAGUGGCGAAGGCGGCGAUCUGGGAAGAUACUGACGCUGAGGUGCGAAAGCGUGGGGAGCAAACAGG